AAUAAUGUUGACGAGCCCCUGAAAUGUAGAAGCCCAUUAUAACAACAAAAAGAACGGGGUUGGGCCUUGGCCCAAUCCAACUUCCAUCUCCAACGGCUAGUAUUGUAUUAUUCCAAAAACAACCCUCAAAACUUUAGAAAAGAUGGAAAGAAAAAAGGGAGACCCUGUCAAAAGAUUUCAAAUCUCAAAAGCCUUCCCCACCCUCUCAACGGCUCUCUGCAACCACUUUCUCAUUUUCCUCCGUUUUCUGUCUAUCAACGGAAACUGAAACCAUCCAAAUUUGCUAUGAGUCCAGUCCCUCAUUGAUGGUGGAUCCCUAAACUCGCUACCAGGUAUUGUUGCCAACCCACAUUGAGAAGCACAAAAGAUGGAGAGAGUGUGUGAAGAGCUAGAUGAAGCUAAGGCUGAGAUUGAGAAGCUGAAGGUAGAAUAUCGGAACAAAGCUGAAUCAUCUGAGAACUUUAAGAAGGCGUACAAUGAGCAACUCACUAAACUCAAAGAAUUAAGUUCAAAAUUCAAUCAGCAAACUCAAGAACUAAAUGAGAAGUCAGAGGAAGCCUCCACGGCAAAACAAAAGUAUGAGGAGCUCAAAUGUUGUUUGAAUGAAAAGGAGUCCAUUAUCAAGCAUCUGAAGGCUGCAAAUGAUAAGCUUCGAGUUGAUUGCGAUGAGAAGUUCUGGAAAUGGGAAGAGGAAAACAGGAAGCAGGUUUUGGCUUUAGAUGAGGCAAAUGAGAAGAACAUGGAUCAAGAGCAAAAGAUUCAUUUUUUCAAGGAAGAGAUUGAAGGCCUUAAAAGACUUUUAUCAGUUUCAAAGAAGAAGUGUUUGGAAGCAGAGAAAAAUGCCAAAGCAUCUGAAGAACUGAGACAGAGAGAUGAUAUGUUAGUCAAAUCAGAGGAGCAAUACAGGAGGGUUGAAGAUCAGCUCAAAUGGAAGAAGGAGCAGUUCAACCAUCUUGAGGAAGCUCACGAAAAGCUUCGAAACCAAUUCUGGACAAGUAAGAAAGAGUGGGAACAGGAGAUAUCUACAUUGCUGGACAAGAUUUGUGCCCUGCAGUCAAAAUUGGAUUCUCAAACCCGAAUCUCUGAAGGCCUUCAAAGACAGUUACAGAUGUGCAACCAAGCUCUAGCUCAGGAAGAAAGACAGAGGAAGUAUCUGGAAAUUCAACUUUCUGAAUCUAAAACUUGCUUUGAGAAUGUGUUUUCUGAGUGUCAGGAUGCAAAAUCAAAGAUCGAACACUUGAGCAUUCAAAGAGAUAAAGAAAUUGCAGCUCUGAGAAAUUCACUAAGCACAAAAGAAACAAUCUACAAAGAAGCAGAUUUCAGAGCAAGGAAACUAGAGCAAGAGAAUCAGGACCUGCUGAUAUCACUCAAAGAACUCCAGGAAGAACGGAUUCAUGGAGCAGGAGCUUCUUCAUCUCUGGCAAAGUUGCGCAACAAGCUCAAAAGUUUGGAGCACAUGCACCGAGACUGUUCGGAAAAUCUCAGAGCCAAAGAAGCUCAAUGGAGCUCCCAACAGGAAAAAUUGACUAGUGACUUGAAUGACUACAUGUUGAAGAUAGAGAGUAAAGAUGCAGAUAUAAAGGAGCUUGGCUUGGAGUUGGAAGGUUGCCAUUCUUCAAUAAUGCAGUUGAAGUCACAGAAUGAGGAGCUGAAACUGAGAGCAACAAAAUUGGAGAAAGAUAAUCAAGAGUUGCAAACGUCACUUGAAGAAUUACAGGAACAGCAGAUUCAUGAAUCGGGAGUGUCUUCUCUAGAAGGGCUUCAAAACAAGGUUGAAAGUUUGGAGCACAUGUACAGAGAUUGUUCUUCAAAUCUCAGAGCCAAAGAAGCCGAAUGGAGCUCUCAACUGGAAAAAUUGACAGGGGACUUGAGUGACUAUAGGUCAAAAGUGGAGAGUAAAGAUGCGGUUAUAAAGGAGCUCAGCAUGGAAUUGGAAGGUUGCUAUUCUUCACUUGUGCAGUUGAAGUUGCAGAGUGAGGAGGCUUCUUUGAUGGUAUUGGUGUUGAAAUUGGGGCUUUCAGAGGCUCAAUUAAAGCUUGCUAGCGAAAAGGAUGAAAUGGCCCUGCAAAACAAAGAGAGGGAAGAGAAUGUCUCUCAUCUCAUGAACAAGUUGGAGAUGAAGAGUGCUGCCCUGGUUAAAGCACAGGCUGAUAUAGAAGAAGAACGUGAGAAGGUGGCGGCACUGUUGAGGAGGGUUGAGUUACUGGAACUCAUCGAACAGCAGCAAGUACUCAUGCAGAAAGAGCUUGAGAGGCAUAAAGAAAUGCUCGAGGAAUCAUCCAAAUAUCAACUUCACCUAAAAGGGCAAGCUUUGCAGAUGGAAAGCAACUUAAAAGCAAGACUAGAAGAAGCUUGUGAUGACUUGGACAGAGCAAAUUCUGAACUGGUUAAAGCCCAGGCAGAUUCUGAAAAAGAACGUGAGAAGGUGGCAUCACUGUUGAGGAGGGUUGAGUCCUUGGAUCUUGUCGAACAGCAGCAAUUACUAAUGCAGAAAGAGCUUGAGAGGCUUAAAGAAAUGCUUGAGGAAUCAUCCAAAUAUCAACUUCACCUCAAAGAGCAAUCUUUGCAGAUGGAAAGUAAUUUAAAGGCAAGACUAAGAGAAGCUUGUGAUGCCUUGGACAGAGCAAAUUCUGAACUGUCUGAGAAAAUUUGUGAAGGAAGUGAAACUGAAUUUGAAUUGCAGAUAUGGAAAUCAAUUGCUGACCAUUUGAAAGCUGAACUUCAAGAGAAUCUGGAAAUGCGUAAAUCAAUAGAAGCUUCUCUUCUUGCACAGAUCGAGGUUGAGGAAACCCUCAAGCAAGAGAGAGAUGCCCUUAUUAUUGCAUUAGAAGAGAAAGACAGAAUGAUAGAUGAUUUUCAGCGACAGAUCAGGUCACUGGAUCAAGAAAUGAAGGCAAGAGAAAUUGGAACUGCCAGUUUUGCAAGAACGGAGGCAGUGAUGGCCUUUGAGUCGGAAAAAGAGAUCUUUCUUCAAACCACAAAAGAGAAGGACAGGAUCCUAGAGAAACUCCAGGAAGAGAUUGAGAGGCUGGAGCAUGAGUCCCUGCGAAGAGAACUAGAAGGUUCUCUUCUGGCCCGAAUAGUCACAGAGAGAACCUUUGAGCUUGAGAAGAGUAAUCUUAUCCAGCUGAUGGAGGAGAAAGAAGAGAGAGUGGAGGAUCUUCAGAAGCUUGUGAGGUCAUUGGAGCAAAAUUUUAAUAGCUCGAUGAUUUCUUUUUCUUCACAACUUGUGCAGAAGCAAGCAGAGAUUAAUUUGGUCCAUGAAGCAUGGGAGAAGAUUGCCACAGCUGAGAUUCUUGCCCAGCUAGAAAUUGAAGAGAAAAAGGUGAUGAUCAUGGAGCUGGAGGAUGACAUUCAUAGCAUACAGCAAAAACUGGAAUUCCAGGAAAAGUCAUUGUCUCAUUCAAAACAGCAAGCAUUGGAGAUUGAAGCUGAACUGGAAGCAAAACAAUUGGAAGUGAAGAAGUUGACGACUGAAAUGGAGACAAAUUGGAGUAAUUCAGAGGGCCUGGUCAAUGAGCUUGAGAGCAAAAAUAAAAAUUUAGUUGAAGAACUUGCAAAGCUGUCAUCAGAAAGGGAAAACCUGUUGGGCUUUAUUGGAGACAUGUGCGAUGGGAUCGACAAAUUCUCCUGUGAAGACAUGCAGCUCACAAGAAGCUUGGAAAGAAUAAUGCAUACUUUUGAUACCUACAGUCCAGGCAAUGAAUUGAAGAGGAGGGAUGAUGACACUCCCUUCAACCCUAACAAAGAAAACUUCAGCACUCAUCUGUCUCCCACGCUGAAGAAGUUUGAAGCCAUUCCUGAUGAAAGAUCACCAUUCAGAGAGGUCAACAAUUAGUUGCACAAUAUUGCCGUGCCAUGUAAAGAAUGGUUAAUUUGUGGCUGUAUCUUUGUAUAUGACCUAUUCAUUCAUGCAUGUAUGAUCAUUUUCCUUAUUAUUCCUGCUAAUCACGAUUGACAACAAAUUCAGAUUUGGUCUUUUACUUUGUAAUGGGCUACCUUUCUACUUUGCGAGUAUGUAUUGAUUUGCAUUGGGAAUAUUGCUGCAAAAUUUUCUCUCCCUCUCUUUCCCUCAUCUCUCAUAUGCUAAUAUGUAUAUACAUAUAUAUAUAUAUAUAUAAAAUGUUUUUUAAAAACAAAUUCCCUCCAUUAGGCUUAUUCCCGAUAUACACGCAACGACGGAAAAGGCAGACGGAGUAAACGCAAACGUUAGUAGAAAAGAACACAAAAACGGCGACACCGUUUUUCAUAAACGGCACCGUUUUUCAUAAACGGCGCCGUUUAGAACCGUAGAAACUAGAAACUUGGAAGGCAACCGCAGGACCACUAACACCAGGCAAGAAAUUGAACCCCCUCACCUCGCAAGUUAUCAUCCUUCUCUUUCUCCUCCAUGGAAAAUCCGGUUUUCGUUUUCUGAAGCUCUGAAGCCUAGGGUUUUUCGUCUUGUUGUGUUUUGCCCUUUUCUUUAUGAGGUUUGAUCAUUGCUGGCUAAAAUUUUACUUUGCCAUAGCAGGCUCUGGAGUUCUGAGGUUUCAAUAUCUAUCUGCCCUCUCCAUUAUUAUUAUUUGGAUUCCAAGGAUUAACUGGCAUUGAGUGGAAAUUAACAUCUUGCCCUCCUACUGACAUCUUUUAACACUUUUCAGUGAUGGCUGUCUCUGGUUCUUUGCAUUUUUCCCAUGAAUUGGGAAUUUGCAAGAACCAUGGACAUAGUAAACAGUUAAAGGUAUGCCAAUUGUUUCUUCAGGAGUACUUUUUUCUUCUAUGGGCCGUCAUUUUUCUUCUCCUCUUUAUAUUAAACCUAUUGCUCAUGUGUACACAGAGUUUGAUGGGAAAAGGCAAGUCACAUUUAUUGAGUGUCACUCUAUCUUCGCAUGCAUCGGUGAGGUUCUCUCUGGUUUGGAACUCUACACCAUGCUUGCUUUAUUUUUUCUGAGAUGGAUUGUACUUCCCUUGCUUUGAAACUUAGACAUGGUGGAAUCUGUUGUAAAGGCUAGAUGUAUGGUAUAAGGUAUAUAUCUAACUGCUGUUUAUAAUCUCUAGUGCUUCUACUCAGUGUGAAGUUGUGUUGCAUUGAAUGCAUUCUAUGAUAUCCUUUCUCUC